UUGCUUCAGCGGCACGCACACUGAACUUGGAACCAUACAAAGAAGAUUGGCAUGGCCCCAGUGCAAGAACGAUACACAAAUUUGUGAACUGCUAUGCUCCCAA